rnacentral:miRNA from 1 species
AUAUAUAUGUGUGUGUGUGUGUGUGUGUGUGUGUGUGUGUGUGUGUAUACACACAUAUAUAUACACACAUAGAUGUAUAUACAUAUAUA